UACGAAGGGUGCAAACGUUGCUCAGAAUCAUUGGGCGUAAAGCGCACGUAGGCGGCUUGCCAAGUCGGACGUGAAAUCCCUCAGCUCAACUGAGGACGUGCAUCCGAAACUGGCGAGCUUGAGUACUGAAGAGGAUCGCGGAAUUCCCGGUGUAGAGGUGAAAUUCGUAGAUAUCAGGAGGAACACCGGUGGCGAAGGCGGGUCUCUGGGCCGAUACUGACGCUGAGGAGCGAAAGCGUGGGGAGCGAACAGG
rnacentral:rRNA from 1 species